GGGUUGUGAGGUUAAGCGACUAAGCGUACACGGUGGAUGCCCUGGCAGUCAGAGGCGAUGAAGGACGUGCUAAUCUGCGAAAAGCGCCGGCGAGGUGAUAUGAACCUUUGACCCGGCGAUGUCCGAAUGGGGAAACCCAGUGUGAUUCGUCACACUAUCGUUAACUGAAUACAUAGGUUAACGAGGCGAACCGGGGGAACUGAAACAUCUAAGUACCCCGAGGAAAAGAAAUCAACCGAGAUUCCCCCAGUAGCGGCGAGCGAACGGGGAGCAGCCCAGAGUCUGAAUCAGCUUGUGUGUUAGUGGAAGCGUCUGGAAAGUCGCACGGUACAGGGUGACAGUCCCGUACACGAAAGCACACAGGUUGUGAACUCGAAGAGUAGGGCGGGACACGUGGUAUCCUGUCUGAAUAUGGGGGGACCAUCCUCCAAGGCUAAAUACUCCUGACUGACCGAUAGUGAACCAGUACCGUGAGGGAAAGGCGAAAAGAACCCCGGCGAGGGGAGUGAAAAAGAACCUGAAACCGUGUACGUACAAGCAGUGGGAGCACCUUCGGGUGUGACUGCGUACCUUUUGUAUAAUGGGUCAGCGACUUAUAUUCUGUAGCAAGGUUAACCGUAUAGGGGAGCCGAAGGGAAACCGAGUCUUAACUGGGCGUUAAGUUGCAGGGUAUAGACCCGAAACCCGGUGAUCUAGCCAUGGGCAGGUUGAAGGUUGGGUAACACUAACUGGAGGACCGAACCGACUAAUGUUGAAAAAUUAGCGGAUGACUUGUGGCUGGGGGUGAAAGGCCAAUCAAACCGGGAGAUAGCUGGUUCUCCCCGAAAGCUAUUUAGGUAGCGCCUCGUGAACUCAUCUUCGGGGGUAGAGCACUGUUUCGGCUAGGGGGCCAUCCCGGCUUACCAACCCGAUGCAAACUACGAAUACCGAAGAAUGUUAUCACGGGAGACACACGGCGGGUGCUAACGUCCGUCGUGAAGAGGGAAACAACCCAGACCGCCAGCUAAGGUCCCAAAGUCAUGGUUAAGUGGGAAACGAUGUGGGAAGGCACAGACAGCCAGGAUGUUGGCUUAGAAGCAGCCAUCAUUUAAAGAAAGCGUAAUAGCUCACUGGUCGAGUCGGCCUGCGCGGAAGAUGUAACGGGGCUAAACCAUGCACCGAAGCUGCGGCAGCGACGCUUAUGCGUUGUUGGGUAGGGGAGCGUUCUGUAAGCCGUUGAAGGUGGCCUGUGAGGGUUGCUGGAGGUAUCAGAAGUGCGAAUGCUGACAUAAGUAACGAUAAAGCGGGUGAAAAGCCCGCUCGCCGGAAGACCAAGGGUUCCUGUCCAACGUUAAUCGGGGCAGGGUGAGUCGACCCCUAAGGCGAGGCCGAAAGGCGUAGUCGAUGGGAAACAGGUUAAUAUUCCUGUACUUGGUGUUACUGCGAAGGGGGGACGGAGAAGGCUAUGUUAGCCGGGCGACGGUUGUCCCGGUUUAAGCAUGUAGGCGGAACGAUUAGGUAAAUCCGGUCGUUUUUUAACGCUGAGGUGUGAUGACGAGGCACUACGGUGCUGAAGUAACAAAUGCCCUGCUUCCAGGAAAAGCCUCUAAGCAUCAGGUAACAUCAAAUCGUACCCCAAACCGACACAGGUGGUCAGGUAGAGAAUACCAAGGCGCUUGAGAGAACUCGGGUGAAGGAACUAGGCAAAAUGGUGCCGUAACUUCGGGAGAAGGCACGCUGAUAUGUAGGUGAAGCCCCUGCGGGUGGAGCUGAAAUCAGUCGAAGAUACCAGCUGGCUGCAACUGUUUAUUAAAAACACAGCACUGUGCAAACACGAAAGUGGACGUAUACGGUGUGACGCCUGCCCGGUGCCGGAAGGUUAAUUGAUGGGGUUAGCGGUAACGCGAAGCUCUUGAUCGAAGCCCCGGUAAACGGCGGCCGUAACUAUAACGGUCCUAAGGUAGCGAAAUUCCUUGUCGGGUAAGUUCCGACCUGCACGAAUGGCGUAAUGAUGGCCAGGCUGUCUCCACCCGAGACUCAGUGAAAUUGAACUCGCUGUGAAGAUGCAGUGUACCCGCGGCAAGACGGAAAGACCCCGUGAACCUUUACUAUAGCUUGACACUGAACACUGGUCCUUGAUGUGUAGGAUAGGUGGGAGGCUUUGAAGUGUGGACGCCAGUCUGCAUGGAGCCGUCCUUGAAAUACCACCCUUUAAUGGCUGGUGUUCUAACGUAGACCCGUAAUCCGGGUUGCGGACAGUGUCUGGUGGGUAGUUUGACUGGGGCGGUCUCCUCCCAAAGAGUAACGGAGGAGCACGAAGGUUAGCUAAUCCUGGUCGGACAUCAGGAGGUUAGUGCAAUGGCAUAAGCUAGCUUGACUGCGAGAGUGACGGCUCGAGCAGGUGCGAAAGCAGGUCAUAGUGAUCCGGUGGUUCUGAAUGGAAGGGCCAUCGCUCAACGGAUAAAAGGUACUCCGGGGAUAACAGGCUGAUACCGCCCAAGAGUUCAUAUCGACGGCGGUGUUUGGCACCUCGAUGUCGGCUCAUCACAUCCUGGGGCUGAAGUAGGUCCCAAGGGUAUGGCUGUUCGCCAUUUAAAGUGGUACGCGAGCUGGGUUUAGAACGUCGUGAGACAGUUCGGUCCCUAUCUGCCGUGGGCGCUGGAGAAUUGAGGGGGGCUGCUCCUAGUACGAGAGGACCGGAGUGGACGCAUCACUGGUGUUCGGGUUGUCAUGCCAAUGGCACUGCCCGGUAGCUAAAUGCGGAAAAGAUAAGUGCUGAAAGCAUCUAAGCACGAAACUUGCCCCGAGAUGAGUUCUCCCUGAGACUUUAAGUCUCCUGAAGGAACGUUAAAGACGAUGACGUUGAUAGGUCGGGUGUGUAAGCGCAGCGAUGCGUUGAGCUAACCGAUACUAAUGAACCGUGAGGCUUAACCUUACAACGCCGAAG
rnacentral:rRNA from 1 species